rnacentral:rRNA from 1 species
UACGAAGGGGGCUAGCGUUGCUCGGAAUCACUGGGCGUAAAGCGCACGUAGGCGGAUCUUUAAGUCAGGGGUGAAAUCCCGAGGCUCAACCUCGGAACUGCCUUCGAUACUGGCGAUCUUUGAGUCCGGGAGAGGUGAGUGGAACUCCGAGUGUAGAGGUGAAAUUCGUAGAUAUUCGGAAGAACACCAGUGGCGAAGGCGGCUCACUGGCCCGGUACUGACGCUCAGGUGCGAAAGCGUGGGGAGCAAACAGGG